UGGUGACACACAUUCGGCCUUCCGUUAUUUAUCUACGUUCGAAGGAAGUGGCCGCCGAUUUCCUCCCGUUCGACGUGGCGAGCAACGUCCACGAUCGACGUCCACGAGAUCAUUGACGAAUAAAAUGGACGAUUAACAGCCUGUUGCUUCUUCUAAUCGCGUGGGCAGCGUAAACUCACGCGCGUUCCUCGCAUUCCUCACGCGUCACAAGCCGGACUCGAUCGUUGUUCGCUUACGUGGGCGACCUUUUUCCACCUUGUCGCCGAACAGAAUGCACCUGUGCAUAGACCUGUCGUGGGCGUGGGCGAUGCUCGAUAUACCGGACGAACGUGGGCACGAUCUGCAUUUCAAAUGGCCUAACGCGCGAGUGUCGAGAUUUUUAGGAUCAGGCUUCUCGAAUCGAGAAAAGUAUGUUUGUUGAUCGUUAUAGAUACCAAGUUUUACGCAAUUUUCGUAUCUGGCCUAUUUGAUAAUGAUAUCACGCGUUUAGAAGGAGGAUAUUCAAUGGCGCAGCUAUGAUUUCGUUUAAAAGAAGUAAAUAGAUUAAAGGAGAUUAAUUUUAUGAUAAUUGUUUUACAGAUCUUUUUACAGAUAUCGAUAUUUUCGAACAUUGAUCGAAAGUAAGAAAGUCGCCGUGAUACGUUUUAAGAUCGUUUCUCAAGGAUUUUUUAAGAAACGAGGGCAAACCAACAUUGAUUCAAAAGUGGAUAACAAGAGAUAAAUCUUGCGCUUCCAACAAAGUCGAAGAGAAAAGUUUCAGCUGGACAACUGCCAGAAGAGCGUUUGUAAUUCAAUUUUCAUUCAUCUCGGCUUUUUUACCGUAUGAGGAAAAAGCUUUUUCUCCUGCGAGAAACGUUAGCCUUGGCCUGCCUUAUCAUCCGUUUCCUGCGCGGCCUCCAAGAUGGAGCAAGCACCGCUUACGUC